rnacentral:lncRNA from 1 species
AUUUUCAAUUUUCUCUAUUUUUCUCAAUCCAACUUUCAAAUCAGGAUGGUGAUCCAGUUCGCCCAGGAGUGGCCAUGACUGAUCUUGCCACUGGCCUGUAUGCAUAUGGAGCCAUUAUGGCUGGAUUGAUACAAAGAUAUAAAACUGGAAGAGGACUGUUCAUUGAUUGUAACCUACUGUCAUCUCAGGUACCAAUUCAAAUAAGAUUUUCAGUAAUAGUUAACAAGUAUGUGUUUGAGUUACAUUUUUAUAUUAAAUCCUAUGGUUA